ensembl:lncRNA
AAAAAAGAUGAUGAGCUGUCUGGAAACAUGAGUGCACAGAAUGGGUUUGCUCUACCUCUGGGCUGGAGGAAACUUCUUUUCGUUGCCCUGGAAACAUGGAGAUGGCAGAUCCGUUGUUCAUUGGCAAGUGGGAGAGGAUGAGAGAAAAGCAGAUGACAGAGAAGCACGUGGAAACAAGAGAGUACAAGUGGUACCCUGGGGUGCCUUGCAGCAGACUUCUACGCCCAUUCUCUCCCUGAUAGCUUCAAAGAUGCUCUGGAAUAAUAAUGCACAAAUAUACGACGUGGUCGUAAGGACUGUGUUCUGACUGUAUUCUGACCCUCC